rnacentral:misc_RNA from 1 species
GUCAUGAAGGCAAAUCUUGGCUCUUUUUGCCUUUUCUCUCCUUUCUUCUUUGUCUUGCCCUCUUUCUUAGAGCAUUCUCCUCCAUCCUCAGACCUUUUUGGUGGGAUCUCUUUCUUUGUUUUUCCUGAAUCUUCCUCACCACCAGCCUCACUUGAAGAGAAAGAAACAGAAGAAUUAGGGGUGACAGGAUUUUCACCGUUUCCACCUCCACCUAAAUCUCCAAUUUCCACAGGCUUUGGAUUGCCUUGUUUAGAAGAAAAAACUUCAGAAGACGAAGGCGACAUGCCAAAGGCUUUUGCAAGAGAGUUAUAGUCCAUGGAUCCAUGUAAGCACUCAGUGAAGCUCAUGUAGGAAGAAGGAUCAAACCCUUGUGACCCAUAAGUUGACGAAAUGGAAGGAGGCUCUUGAUUGUAACCUCCAGCUUCAUCGAUGAUAUCAUAGUGAUCUUCAUGGGAAGGAGCAUGGUAGUAGAGGUCUCUGUGUUCAUCAGACAUGGAGGAAGAA